rnacentral:rRNA from 1 species
AAAUCCCACGGCUCAACCGUGGGGCUUGCUGGGGAUACUGCGGGCCUUGGGACCGGGAGAGGCGGGGGGUACCCCUGGGGUAGGGGUGAAAUCCUGUAAUCCCAGGGGGACCGCCAGUGGCGAAGGCGCCCCGCUGGAACGGGUCCGACGGUGAGGGACGAAGGCCAGGGGAGCGAACCGGAUUAGAUACCCGGGUAGUCCUGGCUGUAAAGGAUGCGGGCUAGGUGUCGGGCGAGCUCCGAGCUCGCCCGGUGCCGUAGGGAAGCCGUUAAGCCCGCCGCCUGGGGAGUACGGCCGCAAGGCUGAAACUUAAAGGAAUUGGCGGGGGAGCACUACAAGGGGUGGAGCGUGCGGUUUAAUUGGAUUCAACGCCGGGAACCUCACCGGGGGCGACGGCAGGAUGAAGGCCAGGCUGAAGGUCUUGCCGGACACGCCGAGAGGAGGUGCAUGGCCGCCGUCAGCUCGUACCGUGAGGCGUCCACUUAAGUGUGGUAACGAGCGAGACCCGCGCCCCCAGUUGCCAGUCCCUCCCGUUGGGAGGGAGGCACUCUGGGGGGACCGCCGGCGAUAAGCCGGAGGAAGGAGCGGGCGACGGUAGGUCAGUAUGCCCCGAAACCCCCGGGCUACACGCGCGCUACAAUGGGCGGGACAAUGGGAUCCGACCCCGAAAGGGGAAGGAAAUCCCCUAAACCCGCUCUCAGUUCGGAUCGCGGGCUGCAACUCGCCCGCGUGAAGCUGGAAUCCCUAGUACCCGCGUGUCAUCAUCGCGCGGCGAAUACGUCCCUGCUCCUUGCACACACCGCCCGUCACUCCACCCGAGCGGGGUCCGGGUGAGGCUCGGUCUCCCUUCGGGGAGGCCGGGUCGAGCCCGGGCUCCGUGAGGGGGGAGAAGUCGUAACAAGGUAGCCGUAGGGGAACCUACGGCUCGAUCACCUCCU